GGGCUGGUGAUUUAGUGGUAUAAUGCCACGUUCGCAACGUGGUUGUCAAGGGUUCAAUUCCCUUCCAGUCCA
rnacentral:tRNA from 4 species